rnacentral:rRNA from 1 species
GAUGAACGCUGUCUACAGGCUUAACACAUGCAAGUCGAGGGGAAACGACGGGGAAGCUUGCUUCCCCGGGCGUCGACCGGCGCACGGGUGAGUAACGCGUAUCCAACCUGCCUCUGACUGAGGGAUAACCCGUCGAAAGUCGGCCUAAUACCUCAUGGCAUCGUCUGCGGGCAUCCAACGACGAUUAAAGAUUUCAUCGGUCAGGGAUGGGGAUGCGUCUGAUUAGCUUGUUGGCGGGGUAACGGCCCACCAAGGCUACGAUCAGUAGGGGUUCUGAGAGGAAGGUCCCCCACAUUGGAACUGAGACACGGUCCAAACUCCUACGGGAGGCAGCAGUGAGGAAUAUUGGGCAAUGGGCGGGAGCCUGAACCAGCCAAGUAGCGUGCAGGAUGACGGCCCUAUGGGUUGUAAACUGCUUUUAUGCGGGGAUAAAGUGAGGGACGUGUCCUUCAUUGCAGGUACCGCAUGAAUAAGGACCGGCUAAUUCCGUG